rnacentral:lncRNA from 10 species
AUUAAAUAAUUUGGGGCAAUUGUGCUUUGGAUGUAAUCAAGAACAUAAAACUUGUCAGCAGUAGAUGAGCUGUAAGAACUGGCUAUGGCAGACCCCUGGGAGAGAUAAAUGUUUUAUUUUGUCGUGUUUGGUAUGCAGCAUCAUUUUGAUUUUUAUUAGAUUAGUCUUUUCUUUUGACUUCUUUUCUUGCAGGCUCUUUCUGAAGGCAACAUUAUAAGGCUUCAAAAAUAGCACAGUGAGCCAAGAGAAACUGCAAAGACACAGCUGUGGGAUGGUGAUUUGGAUAUAAAAUUCUCUGAGCCAGGUGACAUGUUUAUGACUAACUCACGUCAGACUUACUCAUUUAGUAUUGGCACUAUUUCAAGUAAAAAAGAAUUCUCUUUUUCUAAUCUUUCAGAAGAUAUUAUUAAUUUAAAAGAUAGCUAAAAGGUGCCAUGAGGUUGAGGACAAAAGCAGAUGGCAUAUUCCAGUGUGUGUUUCUGUCCCCUGACAUGGAAUGGUCAGUGGAAAUCCUGUGAUUAUUUUUUGCAGGGUAUGAUAAGCUGUUGGACCAUCUUAGACAACCAUCUAGACCCUGGAGCCAUUGUAGUUUGGGGUGAUGACCAAAACCAGACAGUUUUAUGAUCAUGAAGUUUAGAUGGCAGAGAGAGAAGGAGAAAGAAAAUUAAGUAAGCCUACAUAUUUUUCCUUUUUAAAAACUGAUUUCUUUUAAAUAGAUAAAAUUUUAUACAUUUAUCAUAUACAACAUGAUGUUUUAAAAUAUAUAUACAUUGUGGAAUGGUUAAAUCUAGUUAAUUAAAAUAUGCAUUACCUCACGGUUAUUUUUUGUGGUGAGUACAUUUUACAUCCAUUCUGUUAGCAUAUUUC